rnacentral:rRNA from 2 species
UUUGAAAUCUGGCCCUUGUGGUCCGAGUUGUAAUUUGUAGAGGAUGCUUUUGGUGAGGUACCUUCCGAGUUCCCUGGAACGGGACGCCAUAGAGGGUGAGAGCCCCGUCUGGUUGGAUACCGAGCCUCUGUAAAGCUCCUUCGACGAGUCGAGUAGUUUGGGAAUGCUGCUCUAAAUGGGAGGUAUAUGUCUUCUAAAGCUAAAUAUUGGCCAGAGACCGAUAGCGCACAAGUAGAGUGAUCGAAAGAUGAAAAGCACUUUGAAAAGAGGGUUAAAUAGUACGUGAAAUUGUUGAAAGGGAAGCGCUUGUGACCAGACUUGGGCUUGGUUAAUCAUCCAGGGUUCUCCCUGGUGCACUUGGCCAGCCCAGGCCAGCAUCAGUUUGUCGCGGGGGAUAAAGGCGUCGGGAAUGUGGCUCCCCCGGGAGUGUUAUAGCCCUUCGUGUAAUACCCUGCUUUAGACUGAGGUUCGCGCAUCUGCAAGGAUGCUGGCGUAAUGGUCAUCAGCGACCCGUCUUGAAACACGGACCAAGGAGUCGUCUUCGUAUGCGAGUGUUCGGGUGUCAAACCCCUACGCGUAAUGAAAGUGAACGCAGGUGAGAGCUUCGGCGCAUCAUCGACCGAUCCUGAUGUUCUCGGAUGGAUUUGAGUAAGAGCAUACGGGGCCGGACCCGAAAGAAGGUGAACUAUGCCUGUGUAGGGUGAAGCCAGAGGAAACUCUGGUGGAGGCUCGCAGCGGUUCUGACGUGCAAAUCGAUCGUCAAACAUGGGCA